GAUUAACGCUGGCGGCGUGCAUAACACAUGCAAGUCGAACGAUGAAACUCAUUAGAUUUCUUCGGAAUGAAAAUGAAUGGAUUAGUGGCGAACGGGUGAGUAACGCGUGAGUAACCUGCCUUACACAAGGGGAUAGCCUCUGGAAACGGAGAAUAAUACCCUAUGAAACCAGACAAUCGCAUGAUAAUCUGGUCAAAAUGUUUAGUGGUGUAAGAUGGACUUGCGUCUGAUUAGCUAGUUGAUGAGAUAAAAGCUCACCAAGGCAACGAUCAGUAGCCGGCUUGAGAGAGUGUACGGCCACAUUGGGACUGAGACACGGCCCAGACUCCUACGGGAGGCAGCAGUGGGGAAUUUUGCACAAUGGGGGAAACACUGAUGCAGCGACGCCGCGUGAUUUAGAAGGCAUUCGGGUUGUAAAAAUCUUUUGUAUAGGAAGAAAAUGACAGUACUAUACGAAUAAGGUCCGGCUAAUUACGUG
rnacentral:rRNA from 1 species